rnacentral:rRNA from 1 species
GGGAGGUAGUGACAAUAAAUAACAAUACGGGGUUCUUUCGGAUCUCGUAAUUGGAAUGAGUACAAUUUAAAUCUCUUAACGAGGAACAAUUGGAGGGCAAGUCUGGUGCCAGCAGCCGCGGUAAUUCCAGCUCCAAUAGCGUAUAUUAAAGUUGCUGCAGUUAAAAAGCUCGUAGUUGAAUUUCGGGACCAUCAUGUCGGUCGUGCCUCGGUACGUACUGGUAUUGUUGGUUUCUCCCUUCUGACGAACCAUGAUGUCAUUUAUUUGGUGUUGCGGGGAAUCAGGACUGUUACUUUGAAAAAAAUUAGAGUGUUUAAAGCAGGCUCACGCUUGAAUACAUUAGCAUGGAAUAAUGAAAUAGGACGUUUGAUUCUAUUUUGUUGGUUUCUAGGAUCGACGUAAUGAUUAAUAGGGAUAGUUGGG